rnacentral:rRNA from 2 species
UUCCUAGUGUAGCGGUGAAAUGCGUAGAUAUUAGGAGGAACACCAGUGGCGAAGGGGCUUUCUGGACUGUAACUGACACUGAGGCACGAAAGUGUGGGGAGCAAACAGGAUUAGAACCCUGGUAGUCCACACCGUAAACGAUGAGCACUAGGUGUCGGGGUCGCAAGGCUUCGGUCCGCAGUUAACGCAUUAAGUGCUCCGCCUGGGGAGUACGUACGCAAGUAUGAAACUCAAAGAAUUGACGGGGACCCGCACAAGCAGCGGAGCAUGUGGUUUAAUUCGAAGCAACGCGAAGACCUUACCAGGACUUGACAUCCCGAUGACCGGUUCUUAACCGAACCUUCUCUUCGGAGCACGGUGACAGGUGGUGCAUGGUUGUCGUCAGCUCGUGUCGUGAGAUGUUGGGUUAAGUCCCCAACGAGCGCAACCCUUGCCAUUAGUUGCCAUCAUUAAGUUGGGCACUCUAGUGGGACUGCGGGGAUAACUCGGAGGAAGGUGGGGAUGACGUCAAAUCAUCAUGCCCCUUAUGUUCUGGCUACACACGUGCUACAAUGGUCGGUACAAAGAGCAGCAAUACCGUGAGGUGGAGCAAAUCCAAAAGCCGAUCCCAGUUCGGAUUGUAGGCUGCAACUCGCCUACAUGAAGUUGGAGUUGCAGUAAUCGCGGAUCAGAAUGCCGCGGUGAAUGCGUUCCCGGGUCUUGCACACACCGCCCG